GUGUCAAUUUUUUAUGUUUCAUGUGAGAGUUGAAAGGAAUAAGAGUUGAGUUGAGAGAAUCAAAGGGGAAAGGGGAAGGUUUACCUAGGCAUCUGUGAUGUUGGUGAGAAAAUGGCUCGCCAAGGCUGAGGAAACAUAAAUGAAUGGGGUUAAUUGGGAAAAAAGAAUUGAACUUGAAGGGGAGAAAGUUUACCUUUGUCUGCAUUGAAAUAUAGGUCCUUAGUAUUCAUGGAGCAAUUGGUGAGGGUAAAGAGCAUGUAACUGAUGAUGCAGCGGAGAUGGAACUUCACCUACAAAAACAUAAACCUCAUCUUUGUUAAUACAAGGUAAAUACAAAAAAUAAAAAAGUUAAAUAAU
rnacentral:lncRNA from 1 species